AAUGUACUUCCUCCGUCCGAAAAUACUUGUCCUAGAAAUAAAUGUAUCUAGACUUAUUUUAUUUAUAGAUACAUUCAUUUUAUUCACUUUUAGGACAAGUAUUUCCGGACGGAGGGAGUACUAU
rnacentral:pre_miRNA from 1 species